rfam:Mus musculus chromosome 17, GRC primary reference assembly.
UUGUUCUCAUUUUGGUAGCAAAUCUACUAAAACUGAAGCAAUACAGAGAAGAUUAACAUGGCCCUUGUUCAAAGAUGACAUGCAAAUUCUGGAAGCACUCAAUAUUUAU